GACAUUUUAACUAUAUAAAGUAUAUAUUUUGAAAAUAUAAAAAAGGUCCUACCUAAAUGUCU
rnacentral:tRNA from 1 species